rnacentral:rRNA from 1 species
GACGAAAGCUGGCGGCGUGCUUAACACAUGCAAGUCGAACGGAAAGGCCCUGCUUUUGUGGGGUGCUCGAGUGGCGAACGGGUGAGUAACGCGUGAGUAACCUGCCCUUGACUUUGGGAUAACUUCAGGAAACUGGGGCUAAUACCGGAUAGGAGCUCCUGCUGCAUGGUGGGGGUUGGAAAGUUUCGGCGGUUGGGGAUGGACUCGCGGCUUAUCAGCUUGUUGGUGGGGUAGUGGCUUACCAAGGCUUUGACGGGUAGCCGGCCUGAGAGGGUGACCGGCCACAUUGGGACUGAGAUACGGCCCAGACUCCUACGGGAGGCAGCAGUGGGGAAUAUUGCACAAUGGGCGGAAGCCUGAUGCAGCAACGCCGCGUGCGGGAUGACGGCCUUCGGGUUGUAAACCGCUUUCGCCUGUGACGAAGCGUGAGUGACGGUAAUGGGUAAAGAAGCACCGGCUAACUACGUG